AUUGAACGCUGGCGGCAUGCCUUACACAUGCAAGUCGAACGGCAGCACGGGUGCUUGCACCUGGUGGCGAGUGGCGAACGGGUGAGUAAUACAUCGGAACGUACCUUAUCGUGGGGGAUAACGCAGCGAAAGCUGUGCUAAUACCGCAUACGCCCUGAGGGGGAAAGCGGGGGAUCGCAAGACCUCGCGCGAUUAGAGCGGCCGAUGCCUGAUUAGCUUGUUGGGGGGGUAAAAGCUCACCAAGGGGACGAUCAGUAGCUGGUCUGAGAGGACGAUCAGCCACACUGGGACUGAGACACGGCCCAGACUCCUACGGGAGGCAGCAGUGGGGAAGUUUGGACAAUGGGGGCAACCCUGAUCCAGCAAUGCCGCGUGAGUGAAGAAGGCCUUCGGGUUGUAAAGCUCUUUUGUCAGGGAAGAAACACCGGCUCUAACACAGUCUGGGAAUGACGGUACCUGAAGAAUAAGCACCGGCUAACUACGUGCCAGCCGCCGCCGCAG
rnacentral:rRNA from 1 species